rnacentral:lncRNA from 1 species
AAAAGGACAUUCCAUUAAUCAUUCUAUAAUUAUUAUCUCUAUCAUUAUUAAUUAUUCCAUUAAUCACCUUGCAAAAGGUACGUGUUAAAAAAGUUUCGUUAAAUGAUUCGAUCGAAAAGAUAGAUAUUAAAAUUAAGGAAAAUCCUUCGGUUCUAGCUGUGAACGGGUUCCACGGAUCGGAGAAGGCGCCGCUGUGUAUGGCAACCACGUGCUGUUCCAUUUUACCCCUUCCAUUUACCGGCCGUCACGUUCCCUCGCGGCCGGGACGAGGCACAACAAAAGAGAGAGAGGAGACAAAAUUGUUUGCUUUGGGUGCAGUUUAAGACCCAAUCAAAACAGGGACACGUUACCAGAGAAAAGAUAUCCGUUUCCUUUUAAGAAAACCUUGUUUUCGCUUCGCAAGGUGGAGGGAGAAAGAUCGAUAAAUCGGUUUGCCAAGGUACGAGUGAGAGAGUUUGAUGGCGAAGAUAGGACGUCGAAGAGAUGCGACAGAGACGUAGAGCGUAAACGUAACUCGUGCACCCACGAUCAGUGGUAUAAAAUUACGGUAUCAUGUAAACAGAGAAUAUCGUCGGCGCGUCUGAUGGCCGCUUGGGUGGCCGUCAGGGCCUCACGUGUUCUCCACAAGCAGUGAGACUCUAACUUCGGCCUCGUCGAGCAGCCGAAUCGCGUAAAUCGCCCCAACGAUCCACGAAAUGGAUCCAAGCUCGCGAAUCAGGAUUCGGAAGAAUAUCUACAAUUCUAUCUAAUAACUGUAUACUAAAAAUGGAAGAAGAAGGUACUUGCAACUUUAACUUGAUCUAAUCAAAAUUUUGAUUAAUCUUCUAAAAUAUAAUAAUAAUCCUUUCAAUGGAAUCAGAAUUAAUUUCUGACGAACAGGAGGAGGACAAUAAUUUUUGUAAGACGAUACUUGAGAAAUUCGAAUGAACGAAGAAAAGGAAAAGUAGAAAUUUGUAAAAGUAAAUAUCAAUUGGUUUAAAAAAGCGAAUUAAACGGACGAGAGAGAGUUCGUAACGUAGACGUGGACAGAAGAAUAUCUAGAAUUCUAUCUAAUAACUGUAUACUAAAAAUGGAAGAAGAAGGAGGAGAACAAUAAUUUUUGUAAGACGAUACUUGAGAAAUUCGAAUGAACGAAGAAAAGGAAAAGUAGAAAUUUGUAAAAGUAAAUAUCAAUUGGUUUAUAAAAAGGAAAUUAUCGAGGAAGAAUGAAAAUGUGAGCGGAUGUAAACGGACGAGAGAGUUCGUAACGUGGACGUGGGCAGAAGAAUAUCUAGAAUUCUAUCUAAUAACUGUAUACUAAAAAUGGAAGAAGAAGGUACUUGCAACUUUAACUUGAUCUAAUCAAAAUUUUGAUUAAUCUUCUAAAAUAUAAUAAUAAUCCUUUCAAUGGAAUCGGAAUUAAUUUCUGAUGAACAGGAGGAGAACAAUAAUUUUUGUAAUACUUAAGAAAUUCGAAUGAACGAAGAAAAGGAAAAGUAGAAAUUUGUAAAAGUAAAUAUCAAUUAUGGUUUAUAAAAAAGGAAUUAUCGAGGAAGAAUGAAAAUGUGAGCGGAUGUAAACGGACGAGAGAGAGUUCGUAACGUGGACGUGGGCAGAAGAAUAUCUAGAAUUCUAUCUAAUAACUGUAUACUAAAAAUGGAAGAAGAAGGUACUUGCAACUUUAACUUGAUCUAAUGAAAAUUUUGAUUAAUCUUCUAAAAUAUAAUAAUAAUCCUUUCAAUGGAAUCGGAAUUAAUUUCUGAUGAACAGGAGGAGAACAAUAAUUUUUGUAAUACUUAAGAAAUUCGAAUGAACGAAGAAAAGGAAAAGUAGAAAUUUGUAAAAGUAAAUAUCAAUUAUGGUUUAUAAAAAAGGAAUUAUCGAGGAAGAAUGAAAAUGUGAGCGGAUGUAAACGGACGAGAGAGAGUUCGUAACGUGGACGUGGACAGAAGAAUAUCUAGAAUUCUAUCUAAUAACUGUAUAUACUAAAAAUGGAAGAAGAAAAUACUUAACUUGAUCUAAGUACUUGCAACUUUAACUUGAUCUAAUCAAAAUUUUGAUUAAUCUUCUAAAAAUAUAAUAAUAAUCCUUUCAAUGGAAGCAGAAUUAAUUUCUGACGAACAGGAGGAGGACAAUAAUUUUUGUAAGACGAUACUUGAGAAAUUCGAAUGAACGAAGAAAAGGAAAAGUAGAAAUUUGUAAAAGUAAAUAUCAAUUGGUUUAUAAAAAGGGAAUUAUCGAGGAAGAAUGAAAAUGAGCGGAUGUAAACGGACGAGAGAGAGUUCGUAACGUGGACGUGAGGCAGGGAGAGCGGCAAUGUCUGGUUCCGGUCUGCGGUUUUCCUACGGGAACACGUGCGGCCGAAACGGGUUUUCUUCGGGUGGUCUUGAACCGCGUCGUCGGCUCCUUGUUUUAUCUUGAAAAAACUGAUCCGGAACUCGUCGCGAUUCGUCGCAUUGUUUAUUGGAAAAAGGAAAGGGAAAGAGAGAGGAUGGUUUCUCGAGGCCUUCGAAGGACACCGGAUGGAUCGAGUGAUAAAUAAUUUCCAAUCAUUUCUUUCUUUUUGCAAGUAAACUAUGUAUGUACUUUGAUUCUCUUUUUCUUUUCUUUUUUUUUUUUCUCAGAUAUCUGAAGGGCUCGAUUAGCUUCUUUCCCCAAGUGCCACUUGAAACUGUCGCAGAAAACGUCACGGGAAAUCUUGGAAGCAGUAAAAUAGUAAACACUUCUAAGCGCCACUAUCUUCGGAGGGUGGUCUCUAGAAAAACGAGUGUAUAUGUGUAUAUAUAUAUAUGCCUCGCUUUCAACCCUUAAGCCACGAGAUCCGUGCUUUAAUAUUUUUAUUUCCUUUUUACAUUAUCUUGGAAAGUGGUCCAAAGAAUAGAGUCGAAGAUUAUUUGAAGGAAUUUUCGAGGAAAAGGAUCGAAGAAAGUAUUUGAAAGUUUCAUUCUUUCAUUGAGAAAAAUUUACAAUUAUUUUUUUUAUUGGGAAACGUGGUUUUAAAGAAAGAGCGUGGCAAGGAGUUAACGGAACUACGAAAUACACACGGUGCAGGAUUUCAAGUAGGAAAAGACAAGAUGGCCGUGACGCUUCUCUUUCAUCGGAUCGUUCGCUGUAAGGCAAACAAACUCCUUGAGAAUUCGUGAUCUAUAUAAGAGAGCGCACGAUACGGCGGACAGACGUUGGAUGACAUUAAAUAAUUGCCCGCCCGAUGCUUCGCUUCCACGGUUCGCGGAAAUUACCAAGUUAUUACCAAAAAAAUAUAUUCGACCGUUAUUUCUUUGUCGAACAGUUUUUACAAUUUUUAUUUAAAAUUAUUUUUAAAUUGAAUCAGAAAUUGGAAUUUUUUUAAUUAGACACGCGAUUAUUUUUUGUUUCACCUUUCUCAAUAUUAAUAAAUUCUUGGGUAAUUGAAAUUUUCUUUGUUGGAAUAUUUUAAAUCUCUAAGGAUGGAGAGUUUCGAGAGAAUCGAUAUUAAACUUGGCGCACGUGGAGCCACGGACUUUUGAUAAGCGGCAAUCUCUAUUCUUUCAGGGCCGGUUACUCGACACUCCAUCACGUGUUUCGAUAUAUAAACAUUUCGGUUUGAUCGACCGCGAUCAACGAGUCAAUUGACAGCCGGAUUGUUGAGACUUAGCGGCAGGAUUGAAAACAUUUCGAUAAGAGAGUUUAAAGAGUUCGUAAAUAAAAAAGUAAUACUUAUACGUAUAUCUACGUGUUAAACGUAUAGUCCGUAUAACGAGUAUCGUUUAUAGCGUAGUUGAAUUUGUGUAUGGA